UACGUAGGGGGGCGAGCGUUGUCCGGAUUUAUUGGGCGUAAAGAGCGUGUAGGCGGCCAGGUAGGUCCGUUGUGAAAACUCGAGGCUCAACCUCGAGACGUCGAUGGAAACCAUCUGGCUAGAGUCCGGAAGAGGAGAGUGGAAUUCCUGGUGUAGCGGUGAAAUGCGCAGAUAUCAGGAGGAACACCGGUGGCGAAGGCGGGUCUCUGGGCAACAACUGACGCUGAGGAGCGAAAGCGUGGGGAGCGAACAGG
rnacentral:rRNA from 1 species